rnacentral:rRNA from 1 species
AAUCAACGCUGGCGGCGUGCCUAACACAUGCAAGUCGAACGCGAAAAGGGGGCAACCCUGAGUAGAGUGGCGUCCGGGUGAGUAACACGUGGAUAAUCUGCCUGCGGGCGGGGAAUAACUUUCCGAAAGGGGAGCUAAUACCGCAUAACACCGUAAUGGGGCGAUCCUGAGACGGUCAAAGAGGGGAUCGCAAGACCUCUCGCCUGCAGAGGAGUCCGCGGCCGAUUAGCUAGUUGGCGAGGUAACGGCUCACCAAGGCGGCGAUCGGUAGCCGGCCUGAGAGGGCGAACGGCCGACACUGGCACUGAAAUACGGGCCAGACUCCUACGGGAGGCAGCAGUGGGGAAUUUUGGGCAAUGGCCGAAAGGACUGACCCAGCAACGCCGCGUGAAGGAUGAAAUCUUUUCGGGAUGUAAACUUCGCAAGUCAAGAAGAAUAAGCUCGCACAAAUAAUGCAGGCGAUGACGGUACUUGACGUAAGCCCCGGCUAACUCCGUGCCAGCCGCCGCAGUAA